AACGUUGUUGCAGUUAAAAAGCUCGUAGUUGAAUUGAAGUGAACUUGGAUUGAUGUGAUCUUCGGAUGACGUGAAUCAAAGUUGACUCUUUCCAAAGUCAAUACAUUGGUAUUCAUUUAUCUUUGUAUUGUGUUUGGUCAUUUACUGUGAGAAAAUUAGAGUGUUCAAAGCAGACGUUUGUUUGAAUACAUUAGCAUGGAAUAAUCAUAUAAGGCUUUCAUGUUGAUUUGAUUGGUUUGAAUAUGGAAGCAAGAUUAAAAGGGACAGUUGGGGGUAUUCAUAUUCAAUAGUCAGAGGUGAAAUUCUGGGAUUUAUGGAAGAUGAA
rnacentral:rRNA from 1 species